rnacentral:rRNA from 1 species
UACGUAGGGACCGAGCGUUGUCCGGAUUCAUUGGGCGUAAAGAGCUCGUAGGCGGCUGUUCAAGUCGAACGUGAAAACUCGGAGCUCAACUCCGAGCCUGCGUUCGAUACUGGACGGCUAGAGUCUGGUAGGGGGAUCUGGAAUUCCUGGUGUAGCGGUGGAAUGCGCAGAUAUCAGGAGGAACACCGGUGGCGAAGGCGGGAUCCUGGGCCGGAACUGACGCUGAGGCGCGAAAGCGUGGGUAGCAAACGGG